rnacentral:lncRNA from 1 species
ACCAGCCACCUACAAAUGUCGAUCGAGUGAAGGACAGAGCUCGGAGCCUUGGACCAUGAAAUCCAGGGGUCCAUCGACGUGCCCAUCUCCCGACCAUAGACCCACCGGCAUUCAAGGUUCUCCUUUUUCACACGCCUCCUCUAUUUAAUAACGAUAAUAUCCACAAAAUUUUCGAUAAUUUUGGAUAUCCAUAAACUUUAUUUUUUAUUAUGAUUUCUAUCAAAUUUGAAUGUAGUUUACUUUGGACGAUUUUUUAUUAAUGACGUGAGAUUCCGUUUUGUAGAUUAAUAUCAACUUACAUUGUUUUGUGUUAUACUUGGUUGAAGAAAUGUAAGAAAAAUAAAAUACAUACCAGAAAUAAAAUUAAAUAAAAAUUUAAAAUUGCUAAAAAUACUUUUGUAUACUUCUUUAAAUAUGUUAUUAAUAUUAUGUUUAUUAGAUGAUAAUAAAGUUUGAUAUAUGAUAGAGUCGUUGGAGAUAAACAUGGAAAUGCAGCUCACUCGUUUGACAAAAACGCAGCUCAUUGACUUGAAUUAUUUGAAUGAUCAUUAUCAUGAUCGUUAUCACUAACAUUAUUAAUAUGACUCAAAAUCAAUAUAUUUUUUGCAAGUUUGAAUUAAUAUAAUUGGGAAAACAUAUUUAGGUCUGUAUAAUUAGUUUUGGGUUAAAUUCGUGUUAAAUAAAUAAAUAAUUUUUUUGGUCAAACUGCAUGAAUUUGAUCCCAUUUGAUCUAUUUAAUAAUAUUAAUGAUUAAUCUAAUUAUAAUUAUAAAUUAUUUAAUUUUAAUAAUUGUUUAAUUUAUUUCUAAAUAAAUAGGUUAAUUAAGUUAUAACAUAUUUUGUUGAAUUGGUUGAAAUAAACCUAAGGGGUAGCUCAGUUGAUUUAAUUUAAUUUAUUAUUAAAUAAAAUAACAUUAUCAUUAAAUGAGUUAUACGAGGUGUUAUGUAUUUAAUAAUUAUGUACUAUCUAAGUUUAUAUUUUAUAUAUGAUUAUCAUUUGUAUCGGGUCUAGGUUAAUCUACAUAGUAAAAUAUCUAAACUUUGGAUAAGACAACAACAUAACUCACCAACACAAAUUGUCAUUCCCAAGGGUUGUUUCCGAAAUUUUCUAAUUCAGAUAUAAAAAACAAAAAAAUAGAAAAAGAAAUAUGAUUGAAGAAGAUAAAAAAAUAAAUUUAAAAUUUAUAAAUUUAUUUUACAUACUUUUAAAAAACCAACUUUGUUUACUUUUCAUAUUCUGCAUGAAAAUCAAUAAUUUAAAAAUAUACAAAAAUUAUUUUCGGUAUUCAUAUUUUCAUAAGAAUGAAGGACCUAUUUGAUAAUUAAUUUCAAAAACAAUUUUGUUUUUUAUAACAGUUUUUAAAAGCUGUAAUCUGAUUUGUGUAAAAUAAAAAUAUGUUUGAAACCUAAAAUGUUUUAAACUUAUUUUUAAUAUUUUAAAAAUAAAUUUUAUAUGUAAUGUUUUAUUUUUAUUAUUUUUUAUGUUUGUAUAAUUAUUUUUUAAAACGGUAAAUAUAUAUAAUUAAAAAAAUUAUAUUUCUAAUUUUUAAAAAUAAAAAUAGUUUUUAAUUAUUUAUUACUAUUAUUAUUAUUUUGACCUGUUGUAAAAAACAGUUCCAAAUUGGCCCUCACACUUUCAUAAUUUUAUUAGGAAGAAUUGCCUAAUAGAGUGGGCUGGGCUGAAAUAAUUACUGAAAAGGGUGGUAUCUUCUAAUAAUUGUUGGGAAUGACUUUAAUAGACUUAAAUACCAAAACUGUUCUUCAACUAAAACUUAUAAAAUUCAAAACAUUUAAAGCAUUUGACUUGAUUUGUCAAGACAUUUAUGGUGCAUGGGUCCACAUUUAUUGUAAUUAUUGACAUUUAAAUUUUAAAUCAAAAUUUUAGUUUAAAUAUUAUUUAUAUAUAUUUUGUUAUUUAAAUUUACUAUUUAAAACAAAAACACUUCUAAAAAAUAUUUUCAAAAUAAUAUCAUUGUAGACCCAUUUUUUUUACAAACCAAAGGUUUUUAGUUUUUUUUAUUUAUUAUUUUGUUGGCUUUCAUUAAGAAGCCGGGGAGCAUUUUCAGUGAGGGUGGGGGGACCUCCCAUGGACGUGUGGUGAUCCUUCAGCAGCCGGUCCAUGACGGUGGUUGAGGAUGGAGAUUGAUGAGGGGUGCACAGGAAAGCAGGUAGAGGACUGGCAGGAGAAAGAUAUUUUUCCAAAGGGUAAGAAAAAAAGGAAAAGAAGGAGCAAGGGAGUUUUUUACAGAGAUGAACAGAGGAAGAAGACAACAGGUUGCUAGAGGCCAAGCAAAUUUUUGUUUAAAGGGAGUCGCUCAGGUUUAACUAUUUCACAUUUUGGGAUCUCCAUUUUCGUAGCUACAUUACGCUUCUUGCUGGUAUUUAGAUACUUGCUUUGACUAUCUAACGAGUUAAGCGUGAUUAUGAUUUUUUUUUUGUUUACUUGGUCCCUGUUUUCUCCCCUGUAUGAGUUGCAUGUUCUUUAUGCUUUGUGUUUGUGUGAUUAUUAUGCUAUUCGUUUAUGUGACAAGACCAUUCGGACCCUCUCACGCAUGCUCAUCGAACCUGUUAUUCACUUCUCAUUCACAUGCAUGAAGCCCCAUGCACAAGGCCGCCUCCAUCCCGCUCCAUUUUAAACCUUCAUACCCAUCUUAUCCUCUUUCAUGCUCAUUGUACCCACUGCUGGCUGCCCAUUCCACUCAUCACGCCCGUUUUCUCCAAUAAUCAUACCCAUUGCAAAUACCUUCAUCUCACCACCUUCUCCUUACCACCGACACCCUGAACAGAGUUGAACGCUUAAAGGAUGCGCACUCUUUUCCGCAUAUACUGCUGGUGAUGUAACGACAACUAAACAGGUUGGAAAGAAAAAUCAAAUAAAAGUUGUUUCGGGUGAACAUGCCGCUAAUAUGAAAAUCCUCCGCGCUCUUGCUGAGUAUUUAUGUUCGAAAGACAACCCGGAACUUCGUUUCAGGGUGAUUAUGGCCUUGGGUUUCUUGGUUGGGGCUAAGGCUCUAAAGUCCAGCUGUUGUACUAGUUGGAUAUGGGAUAGCUCGUUCGGAGGCUUCUGUUUUAAUGAAUUGCGGACCGUUGUGUUCUCUAAGGUGGGCAUUGCAACUUGGAGAUAAAAGUCUUGGUCUGCACAAGAGAUCUAAUACCAAGUGAUGCAGUCUACUAAAUGGUGCUAUAUAAUUAAACUAUGGCGACCCAAAUGCCCAACCUGCUGGAAGCCUAGUUGCCCAAAAAGUUGGUUGGACCCAUGUCCAACCUUGGGCCCAUAUCCAAAUGUCCCCCAUCUUGCAUGGCCACCCUUGGCCCACAUCCCCAACGACCCAUACCCUUUUAUUCUUAUAUUUAUUUAUCUAUUCAAAUUAUUCAUCUUUGAUAUCAAGGUGUAAUUUUCCAUUUGUUUUAACUUCCAAAUUUAACUUUCAAAAUCCUCAUUUCCAAAGUUUAAUUUCUCAAUUUUUUUUUUAUAAAAAAAUCUGAUUUUCAAAGUUUCCAUUUUUGAAUAAUUUUCAAAUUCUCAAUUUCCAGAGUUAGUUUUCAAAAUUCAAAAUUUUAAUUUAAUCUCGAAAGCUCCAAUUUUUAGGCUUAAUUUCCAAAACUUCAUUUAUUUAUUUAUUAUUUUUUAAAAAAAGAAUUAAUUAAUUUUCAAAUAAUCUCCAAAACUCUAAUUUAUGAAAUUCUGAUUUAUUUCAAAUUUAAUUUCUAAAAUUCUAAUUCAUUUCAAAUACAAUUUUCACAUUCAUUUAUUUAAUUAUUAUUAUUAUUAUUAUUAUUAUUUCUCAAAACUUCGUCUUCCAAGUUUAAUUUUCAAAUCUCAAAAAUUCCAAUUUUCACAUUCAUUCGUUUAAACAUUAUUUUUGUUAUUAUUAUUAUUUUUUUAAAACUCCAAAAUCAUUAAAGUUCAAUUCUUCAAAAAUCUGACUUCCAAAUUUAAUUUUCAAUCUAAAAAAUUCAGCUAUUCACUUUCACUUGUUUAAGUAUUAUUUUUGUUAUUAUUAUUAUUAUUCCAUAUUUAUUUAUUUAUCUCUUUUAAAAGUUCCAAUUAUUAAAUUUCAAUUUUUCAAAAAUUUGACUUCCAAAUUUAAUUUUCAAUAUAAAAAAUUCUACUAUUCACUUUCAUUCGUUUAAAUAUCAUUUUGGUCAUUAUUAUUAUAAUUCCAUUUAUUUAUUUAUUCAUUUCUUUUAAAAAUUCCAAUCAUUAAAGUUCAACUCUUCAAAAAUCUGAAUUCCAAAUCUACUUUUCAAUCUCAAAAAUUUCUGUCACGCCCCAAGACCCACUCUAAUGGCAUGACGAUCAUUUUACACUUCAAACCCGAAGACUUACAAUGUAACCUGACCCAAAAAAUUAUCUUGUAAUCGAAAGUUACCAAUUAUCAAAUACCUAUUCAAAGUAGCGGAACAAAAUCUAAAAUCCUCAAAAUUCAAUUCCAAAACUAAAACAUCCAUUAUCCAAAAUCCAUUGUCCAAAUAUUUGCAAACUUAAAUAAUUCAAGUACUAAAACAAAUUUCAAAAUCUCCAAAACUCAACUUUGAACUAACAUAAAAUUUAAAGGAUCAAUAUCCAAAUAGCUUCCAAAUACCAAAAGAUCCAAAUGAACAUAACUAACGGUUAAACAAAAACCAACAUAAAAUCCUAAGUCAAAUCCUAAUGAUGACCAUUCCUUAGCCUAACCAUCACUCCUCACCCGAACUAAGGGUACCUGAAAAGUAGUCAACAAAUAGGAAUGAGCUCACAACCUAAUAAGGAACAUUAAUGCAGUCCAUGGAUCAAAUAUUUCAAAUUCACUUGCAAAAUAGGAGACAUUGUAAUCAAUCAUUUUCAUAAACCUGUGAGUUAAUUUUAUUUUAUUUUUGCCAAUACAUUCAAAAUUUCUAACUAUAUGCCUUUAUUUCUGAUUCAAACAUUUUCAUAUCAAAUUCAGUCAAAACAUUCCAAUAAUUUAUUUACUUUGGUCAUCAAACAUCAAAGGGUGCCCAAUUAGGUGAGACUUUUCAAAUGGGUGGCUAGCCUCAAAUUGUUCAUUUAAGGUGGACAGAACCAAACACUACUAGUACUAGUAACCUUUAACCAAACCCCUAGAGGCUGGGGUCCAAAUCAAUUACAUUCCCCACCAAGAAAUGUAAAGGUCAAUUAUUAUAUUCCGUUGACAAAGGUCAAAAAGUCAGAAGUUAACUAUUAUAUCCUGUUGACAAUGACCAAACAAACCAGAGUCAAAAACUUAUUUCAAUUAUUCGAAUUUGCAAAACAUAAUAUCUCCACAUUUUUCUAUUGUAAACAAAAUAUAAAGUUCUAACAUACUUUUCAUACAAAACAUAUUUGAUCCAUGCAUAAAGCGAAUAUUAAUUCAAAAUAUUUCCAAAAGAUGUAUAUAAAAAUUUGUUUCUAACAAAAUAAUAACUACAUUAAUUUCCCUUACCUCAAAAGAAGUCCUCAAAAACUUUGGAGAGAAAAUAAUCCUAAAAUUCUACUCUUCACCUAACAAAAUAUAAGAUGAAAUAAUUAUUACUAUUUAUCUAUAAUUUAACUAAUCUAUUCCUUAUUUAAAUAAUUUAAUAAAUUCCCAAUUUGUUUCUAAUAACACAAAUCCUUGCCAUUAUUAAAUAAUAUAGUACUCAGUACUCAAGUACCCAUCAAAGUCUAACAAUACGGAGUCCUGCUACUAUUAAAUAUUACAUACCCAAGUAUCCAUCAAAGUCUAAUAAUAGAGUAUGUGAAAAUACACCAACUAGAUUUCAACCAUGAAAUCCUUACAAAAAAAAAAGUGGAUGCACAGUUCCCACACGCAUGCAACCAGUGCACACGCGUUUUUUUUUUUUUUAAAAAAAAAAACUUAAGAUCUCCCAAAUUCUAAUAAUAAAUCAAAAUAUUAAAUUUUCACUAUUUGAUAUUAAAACGAAUUAAAAAAUAAUAAUAAACUAACCAUAAUCUAGAUUUGGGUUUUCCAAAAAAAAUAUCUUAUGUGCUUAAAAAUUAACUAAUGAAUCUAAAAUAUUAAUCUAGGGGUUAGAAUCUUACUUAUAGAGAUAUGUUCUUCAAACCCUGAAAUCCAACUCCAAUCUUACGUUCUUAGGAACUCUCUGCAAACAGAAACGUGAUUCAGAAAAGAACAGGAAUAAUAGAAUUCUAAUUUAUACCUAGGGUAUUUAUUCGUAAAAUUACAUUUUCACCCAUAUUCCUUUUAUUAAAUUAAUUAAUUAAUUAAUUAAAUUAUUAAAUUAAUAAUUGCCUAAAUUACCCCUAAAUGUAAAAACUUGGGCGUUACAAUUCCACUAUUCACAUUCAUUUGUUUAAUGAUGAUUUUCGUUAUUAUUAUUAUUCCAUUUAUUUACUUAUUCACUUAUUCAUAUAUUUAAAAUCCCAUCUCUUUCCAAUCUUUAAAUUCAACUUCUAAUUUCUAAAAAUUCUAAUUUUCGCAAUUAUUUAUCCAAUCGUUAUUAUCUUCAUUAUUCUAUUCAUUUAUUCAUUCACUUGUUCAUUUAUUUAAAAUUCUAUCUCUAAAUAAUUCUUUAAAUUUCCAAUCCCUAAGUUCAAUUUCCAAUUUUCGAGAUCCUAACUUCCGCAAUUAUUUAUCCAAUAAUUAUUAUUUCAUCAUUAUUAUUAUUCCAUUCACUUAUUCAUUUACUUAAAAUUGCGUCUUUAAAUAAUUCUUCAAAAUUUUGAUUUCCAAAUUUAGUUAUCUGAAAUUCCAAUUUUCCAAUUUCCGAACUUAAUUUUCAAUUCCUAAUAUUCUAAUUAUCGUAUUUAUUCUGUUACUUACUUUUACUUAUUAUUAUCAUUAUUAUUAUCAUUUUAUUCAUUUAUUUCUAAAAAUUCUACCUUCGAAUGAUUUCCAAUAUUUUCAAUUUUUAUACUUCAAUUUUCUUAUUUUCUACUUCUCAAAUAAAUUUCAAUUAUGAUUUCUUUCAAAAUUUAAUUUCCAAAGUCCCAAUUUUCGUAAUUUAAUUUUUUUUUUAAAUCCCAAACUCUCAAAUAAUUUUCAAAAUUCCAAUUUCCUUCAAAUUCAAUUUCUAAAAUUCACAUUCUUACAUUUAAUUUCUAAAAAUCCAAUUUUCAAAUAAUCUCUAAGAUUCAAAUUUUCAAAAUAAAUUUCAAAAAUCAAGUUUUCCCUCGAACAAUUUUAAUUUCUGUUUGGUGAUGUGAGUGAUAUGUUUUGUGCUCCUUAUUGUACACUUUAUUUUUAUGAUAACGCAUUGCUCGUUCGUGGCCCAGGUAUGCAACCACUCCCAUUCUGGUCAUUCUCUAUGUAUGUUUUGAUUCCCAUAUGUGCAUGAUCGAUUUGAGUAUCCAUUGAUUUUCUUAUUGAUUGUCAUGUCAGCUUCAUUUUAUUAGUAGAGACCCGACUUUAGGGACUUAGAGGGGGUGCUACGGUCUUUAUUGUACUUUUCUGAUAAGUAACCUGAUCUUCGAGUCCGAUUCGAUUUUUCGUAGACCACCUUUUCCGAAAUAAGGAGUCACACUUAGAGUUUUCUUUUUUAUUUUAUUUACCCUUUAAAAAUAAAACAAAAAUAAAUGGCGACUCCAAGUCAUUUUCUAAUAAAUAAAAUCAUUUUUCAAAUCAAAUUCGAGCUCGCCAUCAAGUGGGAAACGCAUGAGCCGAAAUGCAGGGUCCACAAUCAUUUAUUGUUUUUUUUUUUUUUACAUUUUUUUAAUUCUAAUUUUUAAGUUUAUUAAGAACAAAAUAAGUUUGAUAAUUUUAUAAUAAAAAUGAUGAUUUUUUCAUAUAUAUAUAUAUAUAUAUAUAUAUAUUAAUUUUAAAUUGAUAAAUUAUGUUUUUGUAUUAAAUUUAAGGAAGAUAAAAUGUUUAAUUUUUCAUUCAAAUUAUCUAAAAAUAAUAAGAAAAUAAUGGAGAAUGUUUAAUCAUUUUUUUUUUAAUUUUUAGAAUAAAAUAAUUUUUACAAAUUUUUAUGAUUUUUUUUUCUUUGCAUAGUAUUUUUUUUUUCCUUAAAGUGGGUGAUGUUAAUAUAUUUAAUAUGUUGAAUAUUAAUAAGGUAUAAAAAGUGAUUUUUAAGAUUAUUACUUUUAUUCUAAAUACAAGUAUAACAAAAAUAUGUUAUAAUUAUAAUAUAAAUACACUUACAUUACAAUAAAACCUAAUUAGGAAAAUUUUGAUUUUUUUUUUAUAAAAAAUGAUAAUUUUAUAUUAUCAAACCAUAUUUCACAACAUAUAUUACAAAUAAUUUAUGAAACCAAAUGAAAUACUAAUUUGAAUUAAUGAGACUCGUAGUUUUUAUUUUAUUUUAUAUAUAUAUAUAUAUAUAUAUAAAUUAUUAAAUAAUUUAAAUGCACUAUAUGAAUAUUAUUAAUAUAUUGAUACGAUGUGUUAAUAUCAAUAGGGUAUGAAUAAACAUUUUUUGAAUUAUUACUUUUGGAAUUAUUACUUUUGGAAUAAAAUAUAGGUACAAUAUAAAUACAUUAUACUUACAAUAUAAAUACACUAUCAUUACAAUAUAUUACAACAUAAUUUAAUUUAUUUUUGUUUAAUUUUUUUAUGUGCUAUAUUACUCAAUAAAUAAUUGUAAGUUAUUUCAUUUAAUAGGUGUGUGUUAGUCAAUUGAAUAUUUAUAUAAUAUUUGAUGAGUGCUUGUAAAAAAUAAUUAUUCAUUUUAUUAUGGUAACAAAAAUUUUAAUUGAAAUUUUAAUUAUAAAAUGAUAUAAUAACAUUAGGAUAUUGUUUUUAUUUAUGAUAUAUUGAAAUUUAUUUUUUUUACAAAGUUUUUUAAAAAUUCUCAAUUUUUUUGAAAAAAAAGAAGAAAAAAUAGUAAAUUUUUAAACAGUCAAUUGAUCAUUCAAAAGUAAACAACAAUUUUUUCGAUUUUGAGAAAUGUACUGUUGAUGACCUGUACUUAUCAUCAUAUAUAGACUCCAUAUCAUUGACAAUCUCAAAUUUAUUUACAAAUAAUAUAAAAAAUAUAUGUAAUGAUAAAAUUAUUUUCUAAUAAUUAUUAAGAUGAGUGAGCGUACUAAUAAUUAUUCCCUUCUGGGUAAUUCUCCCUUUUUAUUUUUAUUUAUUUUUCCUAUUUGGCUUCCUUCUUUGUCACAAGGGUGGGUGCCGAAUUCAAGUCACAAAUGUUUUUAUUACGCGGCUUGAGGUCGAAGGUCCCUUCAAGUCAUUAAUGGAACAUUUCCAAAACGUACAACUGGCUGCAGGUAGGUCAUGGAGAAGGGAAGUCUCUUUUUAUUAAUCAAUAAUUUAAAAUAAAAACAAAAAAAAACAAAAAGAGAAAUUUUCUAUUGGCAAAUCACACCUCUAAAUAAUUGCAUAUACGAAAAUAUAGAAAAAUAAAAUAAAAAUCCCAGUUACAUUAUUCCUUUUUACCGUACACAAAAAUAUUGACCAAUUAAAUCAAAGAAUAAAAAUAUUUUAAAGCAGUCAAAAUUUUUUAUUUCUAUUAUUUAAUUUGAAAGUUUUUUUAAGUCAAACAUGGAGACUAAAAAGGAAAUAAUUAUUGGAAAGUUAAAUGUCCAAAUCCUAAUAAGUCUUAUUAACUAUAUUUAAAAACAAUUUAGCAAAAUUUGAAUUAAAAAUAAAAUUUUAAGAUAUUUAUUUUAUAAAUUAUUAUGAGACAUGAUUAAAAAUAUAAAUAAUAUUUUAAGAAUUUUAAUAAUUUAUCUCAUUCAAAUUAUAAAAAGGCUAUAUAUUAAUGAUGGGUCCUUUUAUUGGUUUGGAGUUAACACCUCACCCACCAAGCUUUUAUUAAGGGAGGCUUGUCUCCUUUAACACGUAAGUAAUUCAACUUGUACAUUGUCUUUUUCUAUUUUUAAAUUAAAAAGGUAUGUAAAAUGAUUUAUUAAUUUUAAAUUUAUUUUUUUUUUUUUUUCGUUUUUUCGUUUUAUUUUUUAUUUAUUUUAUAUUUUUCUUCAAAUUUUCUAAAAACCAAACAUGACAUGAAAGUUAUAAGAAAAAAAGAUAACAAGUAGAAAGAAAUGCAAAAAAGAAAAGUAUAAUGGGAAUAAAAGGUUUUGACAUUUUUCUUCCUCAUGGUAAUAUUUUUGCUUUCCUUUUUAUUAAAAUAAUAUCCAAACACAACCUUUAAGGGGAAAAAAGGGGAGAGAACUAGGAUGCUCAUUCUGAGCCCAAAUAUGGAAACUUUAUGGGCUGACUGGCAGUAUAGUGGGCCCCAGACCAGCCCAAUUCACAGCCCAACUUCCAACUCUUUCUUCGCUUGUAAUCAAAGAAAGAUGAAAAAACAAGCGAAAGCAUCACCUCACCUUCCCCACCAUCUCUGAAAAUGCAAUCGCCAAAACUGAAAACUCCUCUUUAAAUCACAUCCCAUCUCCCUCUCCCUCUCCAACACACAUUCAAGCUGUGAUCUCCUCUUCACUUCCCCAAAAAUGGAGGCAGAACGGAGCUUUCUGUUGAUAAUGGCAGUUGCAGCAAUGGUGGUGACAGUGGGCGGACAAGGGUCAGGGACGAAGCCAUUGGUGAAGGUGUUGAAGGGUGGACUCAAGGUGUGUGACAAAGGGUGGGAGUGCAAAGGGUGGUCCAAGUAUUGCUGUAACCAGACCGUUUCCGAUUUCUUCCAGACCUACCAGUUUGAGAACCUCUUCGCAAAGCGUAAUACGCCUGUGGCACACGCGGUUGGCUUCUGGGACUACCGCUCUUUCAUCACCGCCGCCGCCGUUUACCAGCCUCACGGAUUUGGCACCGCCGGCGGGAAGCUCAUGCAGAUGAAGGAGGUGGCAGCUUUUCUAGGCCACGUCGGCAGCAAGACCACUUGUAAGCCCAUUCCUUCCUAUUAUUUUUUAUUUUCCUUAUUUUGAUGUUUGGUUGCAGUGAAAAUGCAGGAAAGAAAAAAAGAUUGAAUGGGUUUAGAAUGGAAUUGAGGAUUUUAUUCGUAUGGGGGGUUGGGCUGAACUGGAUUAGGAGGUGUUUGAGGAGUUAACUAAAGGGUUUGAUUCAUGAAUCGGUUGAAAAUCAACCCCGAGAACUUAACCUCAUCAUCCUAUAGGCUUGAUUUGUGUUACGGGAAUUGAUUUAGUGGGUGUUGUUAUUUUAAUAAUUUAAGUUAGAAUUUAAAUUAAAUCGGUUUUAAGUUGUAUCAUUUUUUUUAUUGAUCGUUUAGUAAAAUUAAUUAAAAAUUUAUUUUAAGUUAUUAAAUUGAUAUAUUUAUUUCUUUAAUUAUAAUUAUUGUUUAUCAUUAUUAUUUUUAAACUAAUAUUUAUUUUCAUUAAUUUUAAAGAAUAAAUCUUUUUAUUAAAUAUCCAAAUCUAAAGUAUUAUAAAUGUAUAAGAUAAUUUUAAAAUAUUUAGUAUAAAAAAUAAAUCAUAUAUAUUUGAAGUUAUGGUUGUUAAAUAUGAAAAAAAAAGGCAAUAAAAAUUUAAAUUAAAAAUAAAUAAAUAAUUUUAAUUUAAUAUUUAAAAUUAUUUUUAGUUUUAAAUUAUGAGAUUAAAUUAUUUUACCAAACAUAUCCGAUCUACUUAAAUUAGGUAAUUAAGUCAAGUGGAUUUAUCAAACGCCCAUUUAAUCCAUUUAGAAUGAAUUUGUCGAUUUUAGUUUCAUUACAACAUUCUGCUUGGUUGCUGAGAAAAGGCAGGAAAAGUAUAUGAGAAAAAAAAAUCUCUGAAUCAAAUAAGCCCAGUCAAUAAGGUUAAUUCUUCAUUUCUAUUCAGCAUCCAAUAUAUAUAUAUAUGUCAUAAAACAUAUGAAUUAAUCUGCUUCUUGGUUAUCUUAAUCAUUGGUUUCUGUCAUUCUUUGAUUUGUUUGCUCUUUAAGGUAGAAGAGGUAACAAUGGCAAUGGUGAUGAUAUUUUCAGGUGGCUAUGGAGUGGCGACAGGGGGCCCAUUGGCCUGGGGACUAUGCUACAACAAGGAAAUGAGCCCCAGCAAAUCUUACUGUGAUGAUGACUACAAAUACACCUAUCCCUGUACCCCUGGAGUCGAAUACUUUGGCCGAGGCGCCUUGCCGAUCUACUGGUAUGCUUGUCAUCAAAUCUUCCUCCCAUUUCGUCUUUGGGUUUUCCUCUGGUAUCUCUGGUUUUAUCUAGGAAAGUGUUUUUGAAAACAGUUUCUACAAACAGCUUUUAAAAAUUGUUCUUUGUUUGUGAGAGAACAUAAAACUGUUUUAAAAAACACUUACCAAAGAGGCCUAUAUGGCCUGAAGUCAUCUUCCUUUUCCUUUGAUUGUUUUGCUGUUCUUGGUCUUCAAAGGAACUACAACUACGGAGAAGCUGGGGAAGCCCUGAAGGUGGAUCUGCUGAACCAUCCAGAAUACAUAGAACAGAACGCCACCCUAGCCUUCCAGGCUGCGAUUUGGAGGUGGAUGACCCCAGUGAAGAAGCAGCAGCCCUCGGCCCACGACGUCUUUGUAGGGACCUGGAAGCCCACCAAGAACGACACUCUGGCCAAGCGGAUUCCUGGGUUCGGCGCCACAAUGAACGUUCUGUAUGGCGAUUCUGUCUGCGGCCAGGGUGACGUCGAUUCCAUGAACAACAUCGUCUCCCACUACCAGUACUACCUUGACCUGAUGGGUGUCGGCCGUGAGGAAGCAGGGCCUCAUGAGGUUCUCACCUGCGCCGAGCAGGAGGCUUUCAACCCGUCAUCUUCUUCAUCUUCUUCUUCAUCUUCUUGAGCUCGAUCUUUGCGAUGGUAUUAUGAUAGUAAAAAUGCCCGUGUUCUUUGGUAUUCUAUUUUGUUUGUUAUGUACGUGAGAAAGCACAUAUUCGAGUCCAUAUGUAUGUAUAAUCUUCUUCUCUGAUUUCUCUUCAAUGAUCAGGAUUGCUUUGAGCACUUCACAAUUCUAAUUCGUUAUUUCUUGAUGCCAUUUUCACGAUCAUAAAUCUAUAUAAAUGUCUCUUAAUCCAAAAAUUUGAAAGCUUAGAUGGGCUUGAGCCCAUUUUGGGAGCCCAAUUAGUUGUCCAAUCUCAAAUCACAUAGGGGAAGCCUAAAAGUAAACAUUUGAUUCCUGGACUAAUGCUCUUAAUCUAACAGAUAAAGUCAAAAACGCCCAUCAUAUCUGAUUUACUUAAAAAAUAUAUUAAAAAUGUAACUUCAAUUUUGAAUCUUUGAUCACCUCCAUUCUUCCAUUUUUAAAUCAACUAGAAUCUUCUUCUCAAAAUGACCAUAACACCCUUUCAAUUUCUUGAUUGAGAGUAACCUUAGGCGAAAGUUUUAAGGAAGGGAUUUUGUUUCUUUCCCUUAAGAAAACCUUAUCAUUAAAUAUAAUACACAAAUAUUUUUUCUUUUUCAUUUUUUUAGAAAGGUUAUAUUAAAUCACAUGCCAUUUAUUAUUAUAAAGUAAUGUGUAGGUUUGUCCUUUGCUGAAUUAGUUGGCAAAAAUUUUAAUUAUUUUUUUUUUCAUUUAUUUCUUCUAUUUUCCCUUUUAUUUAAUUUUUUUAUUUCCCAUUUUCCCCAAAAUUUCUAAAGGAAUGCUUGAGACUCACGGCUUCCAAUAUAUUCUACUUUUUAUAUAUAAAUUCAUUUAUUAAGAAUCAAAUGCUUCCCAAAGUACUCCGUUUUUUUAUUUAUAUUUUUAUCCAUAUUUUAAUUCAUCUCUAAAUUCUUCUUAAAACAAUAUCAAUCAAAUAGGUUUUUUCUGCUAAUUUUUUUUUAUAAACAAAAGAAAAAAUUUAUAUAAUAAACACAUGGAUAUAUCAUACUCAUCCACUACAUAAAAUAUCAUGUAAAUGUAUAUGUGAUUGUCAUUCUUUUUUAAUCAAAUUCCGAUGUAAAUUAGAGUAAUUUUUAUAAUUUAUUGUUAUUUAAUUAGCCUUUUAAAAAAUUGAAUUAGAAGAAUUAUCCAAAACAUAUUUAGAAUUACUUUAGGCUACAUUUGGUUGAUUCUUUUUUUGUCCUAUAUCAUGUUAUAUCCAUGAUUUUAAAUAUGACCAUUUAGGCUAUAAUUGAUUCAUGGAAUAAGAUAAGAUAGAAAAUGAUAUAUAUAUAUAUAUAUAUAUAUAUAUAUAUAUUAAAAUAUCAUAUUUUAUUUGAUAAAAAAUAUAUAUUUAAUAAUAUGAUUUUCAAUGAGAUAUGAUAUAUUUUGUAUGCAUAUUUUAUGGAUGUAAUAUUUUAAGAUAACAUAUUUAAUAAAAUAUAUUAUGUUAUAUUAUGUUUAUAUUUAAUUUAUAAAAUAAAUAAAAAAUAGUAUGAAAUAUAUUUUAUUUUUAAUAUUUAAAAUAAAUUUUAUAUCAUAUUCAAAUAUUUUGUAUUUUAAAAAAUAAAACAUUUCUUAUAUUUAACAAUAUUCAUGACCAAAAUAUUUAAACUUUAUAAAUAAUUUUUUUAAUGUUAUCUUAUAAUAUAUAAAAAUAAAUUAUAUAUCAAAUAUAAAUAUUAUUUUAUUUUAAAAAUAUUUUUUUUUAGUUUUUUUAUUUUUAACCAUAAAUUUAAUCUACAAUAAAAAAAAUUUAUUUUGUAAAAUGAAUAUAUAAAAAAAAAAUAAAAAAUAAAUUUAUGAUAUGCUAAUAUGAGAUUACUAUACUGUUAAAAAAAGAGAGUGGAUAACAUAUUUCAACAUAUGACAUUAUAUAUGAUGAGUAAUUAAAUAAUAUAAUUACGAUGUAAUAUCUCUUUUUUUAUCAUAUAUCAUUUAGGUAAUCAAAUAUGACAUAAUUAGUAGUUUAAUAAUAUUAUUUCCUUUUAUGUGAAAAUAGAAACCUAAUCAUUUUAUAGUCUUUUUUGUGUAUAAGUAUUCUGUAUCAGGCUGAAGUCUGGCGAUUUCUGGAAAGUUUGUUGUGGAAAUGUAUUUUAUUCUGCCUUCUACGGUAAUAAUCCAAGCGUCCAAACAGCCGAAAUGGACCGCAAAAGCUGUAACCAGAGCUAGUGUGGUUACAGUCAAUCCCCACCGUCGAUUCUUGCGGCAGUGGGUCCCAUUUGAUGUAAAAUUUAAUCGUGGAUUUAUUUUAUCACAGAUUGAGAACAUUUUGGUCAUUUCCAUAUUCAACAUGCUCAACAUAUAUAUAAAACUAUAAGUGGAGGGUGACCACGUGGCAACUCUCUCCACGUUGAUUAUAAAUACUCGCAAUUCACGAGAGUUGCCAUAUUCACAACCGAGGAGAGGUAGAUAGUGAGGGUUUAGAGAAGAUGGUGGUGGAGCGCGACAUAGAUGAUCUACCGAAGAACGCAGCGAACUACACGGCCUUGACUCCGCUGUGGUUUCUGGAGAGAGCAGCUGUGGUGCAUCCCAACAGGAAGUCAGUGAUCCAUGGAUCUUUGCAGUACACGUGGCUCCAGACUUAUCAGCGGUGCCGCCGAUUGGCUUCCGCUCUUUCUAAGUAUUCCAUCGGCGCCGGCAGUACGGUACUUCGGUUUCUCACAUCUCUAAAAUUUUCAUUCUUCUGCUUGGUAGAUGAGAAAAUGAAAGAAAAGAGAAGAAAAUAUGAAAAUCUUUUGUUGGUUGCUGUCUUGAAAGCGGGGUGUUUUUCUCCCUUUCUUAAAAAGGAAGGGUUAGAUUCACAGUAUGGGAUUAUCUUAUCCUUUUAACCAAAUAAUAUAUAUUUUUUCUUUCCCUCUGAAAAUAGGCGGUGAAUUUAAUUGAUUCGUUUAUUUAAUUACCACGUUAAUUAAAUCUUGUGCUGAUUGAAUAUGAAUCCAGUUCGUUGGCUUGAAUUUAGACCAUUUUUUUUUUUUUUUGGUUGUAGAUCUGAUUUUUUUAUUCUGUUUUUUGAAAUAUAGAAGUAAAAGUAAUUUUUAAUCACUUGUGUCAAAAUCAACAUGAUUGUUGUGGUUCUGAAUCAUUUAGUCUCAGGUGUUAUUUAUUCAAAAGUUGUGGAAAGUCUUAAAAAAGUUUAUUGACAUUUUGAUUUUGAAUUUUCAUUAUUACUUUUUCCUUUUAAGAGUUGUUUAUUCUAGUUUCAGACAAGAGGUUAUGUUAUCAUGCUCAGUAUCAUUAUUCCUACUAUUGUCGCUCUAUUUUGGGUUAUUUGAUUAAAAGGGUUUUUAAAAACAUCUUUAUAAAUACUGGAAAUGAUAAAGAAUAUUUACAUAAAAAAAAAUGGUUUACUUUAAAAAAAACAUGAAAAUAGUUAGAUUCACAAUUUAGGGAUUAAUUGAUUCAUUUUAGUAAAAUAUUUCUUAUAUUUUAGAAAUUGUUUCAGGAUAUACGAAAUUUUGGAGCAUGAGUUUUGAGUAUGUUUAUAUAUUUUCCUUUUCGAUUUAAAUAAUAUUUAAUUUUUUUAAGGGCAUGUUUGCUUAAGGAAAUCAUUAGGACCAUCUUAACUUGAUUUUAGGCAUCAAAACACAAGAUGGGUCCCACAACCCAGUUGAUAUUUAUACUAAAAUUUAAAUGGAAAAUGGAAAUUAUGGAACAAAAUUUUAAGAUAAUAACAAAAAAAUUUAAAAUAAAUUUAUAUAUUUAAAAUAUAAGAAAUACAAGAUAUAAUUGUAUUUUAAUUUUGGGGGGUUAGUUUAAGUUUUCUGCAGGUUUUCCCUUUAGAUUGAAAAACCGUAAAUUGGGUAUGUUGGAGUAUAAAAAAGAUCACCCAAUCUCGUCCAAAUGUCGGGGUUGAGUUUAGAUUAGUUCACACUAACCCACCUAAGUUGUAAGGUUAGGUGUUGUUUCUUUUUUUUAACUUUUUGCUAAAAGUGACUUGGUUUUGUUGAACUACCAAUUUUCCUAAAAACUGAAGGAUUUUGGCCCAAUAUGCAUAUUGACACCUUCCCUUAUGUGCAGCCCAUACCCACAUGUGGAGAGACAUAGAGAGAAAGGGGAAGAGAGACAAACAAUUGCAAAUAACCUUGUUUGGGUUUCCAAACAUGUAAAUGGGGAAACAAAUAUACAAAUUGCGAAAAGGCAACUCGAACGCAUAACCUCUCACAAAACCAAGUUCUGAUAUCAUGUUGAACUACUAAUUUUUUUAAAAACCUAAAAUACUUUUGUUUUUUUUACUUAUUUCUUAAAUUUUUGACUGAGUAGAAAAAACCAAAAUAUUUAAUUUUCUUUUUAAUGCUAAAAGUAACCUAUUAGUUUUUCUUUACUAGUUAAUACUUAAUAAAAAUAAAAUAUCCAAAAAAACAUAUAACUUAAUAUUUAAUACUAUUAAAUACUAUUUUAUCUUAAGUUUGAUUUAGAAUAAAGUAAGAAAACAAGUACCACCCUAGUUUAAUCCACUUAUCAUACAAUUAUUCAAAAAUAUUUAGCACUUUAUCUACUUAUUUUUAUUUUUUUCAAUGGAAAAACCAAUAAAAAUAUUAAUUAUAAAUACACAAAAUAAAUAAUACAUAUGUUUAUUUUUUUUAUGAAAGGGAAAACUAAUAAAUUAGCAAAUCCAAAAGACGGUGAUGGAGAUAAUAUUUAUAUAUAAAUAAUAACUAUUUUAUACAAAUAAUAGCUAUUAAUAAGCUUUGUGUUAUGGUUAUAAUAAUUUUGUUAUUCUUGACAAAUUAUAUUACAAAAAAUAGUUAUAAUCAUGGUAUAAUAUAUUAUUUUUUUAUUCCCAUUAUAAGAAGUUGGAUUAUUCUUUAAUAAGUUUUUCCUCAACUAUGAAGAGAUUAUAAUCAUUUUUGCUCUCUGCCUGUAAAAAUGUUAGUACUUUUAUUAUUUGCUUAUUAAAAUAGCCAAAGGGCAAUAAGUUGUCUUCAUCUCACUCUAUGUCCAAAUUCACUGGCAAUAUUAUUACAAGCAUAAGAGCAAGAGUAAUAAGGCUGCAUUUUAGAAAAAAAAUUGCUGAAGAUUUUUACCUGGCUUGUUUGGAUAAUUUAGCGAACAGAUGGUUCUGCUUGUUUCCCUCCCAAAUUCCAUAUUCUCUUCGGAUUUGGCAUCAUUUAGGGCUUAUAAUCCAUUUCAGUUUCUUGAGUUACUUCCUGAGUUAGUUUCCCUUUGGGAAAUUAUUCUCAUUGCUUGGUUGUCUGGACUGCUUGAAACUUCUUGUUCACCUGACUCAUGAAAUCAAAGAGUAACGCAAUUGCCUUUGUCAUUGUGUGUGUACUUUGAUUUUGGGAUCCUCAUCCCUGCUCCUUUCAUCGUAUUCAUCAUUGUAAAAAGCAUGGAAUUUUCUAACAUUGUUCCACUGGACCUCAUGAGGUUUUAUAAUGAUGGCCAGAAUUAUGAAUCAUUGAUCAUUCUGUUUUCCCUUCAUCCUAACUUUGUAUCUGAUAAAUUGCCUCUAUGUUGGAUUGGAGCUAGUUGGUGGCUGAAUCUUAGUGUUCUGAUUAUACUUCUAGGUAGCAAUAAUUGCACCAAACAUCCCUGCCAUGUAUGAAGCUCAUUUUGGGGUUCCCAUGUCUGGAGCGGUGGUGAACUGUGUUAACAUUCGUCUAAAUGCACCGACAAUUGCUUUCCUUCUUGAGCAUUCAUCGGCAGCAGUUGUAAUGGUGGAUCAAGAGUUUUUCCCAUUAGCAGAGGAAGCUUUGAAAAUCUGGUCAGGGAAAAGCAAAAAUGAUUUUAAGCCUCCCCUUCUGAUCGUCAUAGCUGAUGAAAGCUGCGAUCCUAAAGGACUAGAAUAUGCUUUGAGGAAAGGGGUCAUUGAAUAUGAGCAGUUCCUGGAAACAGGAGACCCUGAAUUUGCAUGGAAACCACCACAGGAUGAGUGGCAGAGUAUUGCUUUAGGGUAUACUUCUGGAACUACAGCCAGCCCUAAGGGGGUAGUGUUGCAUCAUAGGGGAGCAUAUGUCAUGGCCCUCAGUGGUGCUCUUGUAUGGGGGAUGAAUGAAGGAGCUGUGUACCUAUGGACACUUCCAAUGUUUCAUUGUAAUGGCUGGUGUUUCACUUGGACACUUGCUGCUCUUUGUGGGACUAACAUAUGCCUUCGUCAGGUACUUCUGAAUCCUUUGUUUUUGCCUCAAUAUGUUGGAGAAUUCAUGCUUAUCUUAAUAAUGUCUUCAAUAUGUUGAAAUGCUUUGCCAAACACUACAAGGCAGUUUGAAAACAGUUGCAGGCCGCCAAAAGGGGUUUGCUAAUGUGAUCAUGCUCCUCUGCUUUGUACAUUUUUGUAGGUUGCAACCAAGGCAAUUUAUCAAGCCAUAGCCAACGAUGGUGUAACCCACCUCUGUGCUGCACCAGUGGUCCUCAACAGCAUAGUCAAUGCCCCCAAAAGUGAAACCAUCCUUCCCCUUCCACGCGUGGUCCAUGUAAUGACAGCUGGGGCUGCUCCGCCCCCUUCUGUUCUCUUUGCCAUGUCCCAACAAGGCUUUCGUGUCACCCAUACCUACGGACUCUCAGAAACCUACGGCCCCUCCACAGUAUGUGCAUGGAAGCCUGAAUGGGAUGAACUACCACCUGAAACUCAAGCCCGUCUCAAUGCACGCCAAGGUGUCCGAUACAUCGGCUUGGAGGGCCUAGAUGUGGUCAGCACCACAGACAUGAAGCCUGUCCCUGCCGAUGGAACCACCAUUGGUGAGAUUGUGAUGCGGGGUAAUACUGUGAUGAAGGGCUACUUAAAGAACCCGAAAGCCAACGAGGAAACUUUUGCAAAUGGAUGGUUCCAUUCAGGUGAUCUUGGCGUGAAGCAUCCAGAUGGGUACAUACAACUUAAGGACCGAUCAAAAGACAUCAUCAUCUCUGGAGGCGAAAACAUAAGCAGUGUGGAGAUUGAAAAUGCUGUAUACCUGCACCCUGCAGUGCUAGAGGCAUCAGUGGUGGCAAGGCCAGAUGACCGCUGGGGGGAAUCGCCUUGUGCUUUCGUGACGUUGAAGCCAGGGGUUGAUAGGUCCGAUGAAAGACGCCUGGCAGAAGAUAUUAUGAAGUUCUGCCGGUCCAGGUUGCCGGCUUACUGGAUUCCAAAAUCUGUGGUGUUUGGACCAUUGCCCAAGACAGCCACUGGGAAGAUACAGAAGCAUCUGCUGAGGGCCAGGGCGAAGGAGAUGGGAACCCUAAAGAAGAGCAAGCUGUAGUAAUCUCUCAGGGUAGUCCAUGAAUGAAUAAAAAGAGGGAUCUUCUUGUUGCCGGUUAGUCUCCCUCGUACUCUGUUAAUUCAUUCAGUUUGGGCUAUAGGAUUUGUGGUUGGGCUACUAAUAUGGUUAUGCAUUUGAAGAAAAAUACUUCUCUCAUAUUCACCUUCCCCAAUUGGGACUAUCAUGUACUGUUACUUAUUUAGGAACUCGUUUGGACGACUGAGCCAAAGACCGGAUCAAAAAGCCCACCAUUAAUGAUCAACAUUUCAAUAUUCUAUUUAUAAAGUCAAUUUCAAAAUACAUAUCGAUGUGAUAUUUACAUGUGAAUAUUCAAUUAACGGAAAAUUCUGAUGAAUGUUAUCCCUAUCACAUACAGAUCAGGUUGGUCUGAAAUCUUGGACCGAUUUGAUGUGUUGAUGGUAUGGGCCAUGUCGUAGCCCAUUGACAUCUCUGUCCAAGCCCAGUAGCCAGGCCUUGAGAUUUCAAAGGUCAGAAUAGAAAUGGGCCUUGUGGUGGACCCAUCUAUGGUAGUUCCUAAUGUUAUGCUAACCAAAAUUUGGUGGAGUGGGAUAAGACUUAAGAGCAAUGGAGCUCCUUCAAUCCAUGUCUUUUAGAUUCUCUAUUUCAUUUGUUCUUCCUUUAAGGCUUGUUUGGUAUACAAGAAAUAAGAAUAAAAGUAGGAUGAAAACAAGGAUGAAUCAUAAUCUAAUGUAUAAUAAAGUAAUCAAAAUCUUAGUAUGAGUGUAUUUGGUUUUCAUGACAAUGAUUUUCUAUUUUCAUUCCAAAAAAAAAGAAAGAAAGAAAAAAGAAUAAAUUAAUGAAUGAGAAAUGAAAUUUAGAGUUUGUUUGAGCUUUGUUUUUAAAAAACAAUUUUUUUAUUUAUUUCUAUAAAUAAAAAAUUGUUUUUCAAAUUCAAAAACACAUUUGGUUUUUUUUUUUUGAUAAAAAAUAGUUUUUUGAAAACAUAUUUUAAUUAUUUUCAUUUGUUUUAUAAAAUAAUUCUAUAAAUAUGGAAAAUAAUUUAAAAUAAAGUAUUACAAGUAAAAACUAUUUUUAAAAAGCAUAAAAUAUAGGUUUAGAAUAUUUCAAGUUUUCAAACAGACUUUUAUACUAAUAAACAUUCAAAAACUGUUUUUUAAAAACUAUUUUUCAGAAACUGUUUUAAAAAUGGAAAAUGUUUCCAACAAGUGAAAGAUUUUCAUUCUCAUUCUUCAUUACAUUACAUGAUUUCAAACAUCAUUUUUAUCAUAGCAAUAGAGGACUUCAUUUGAAGAAGAUUCAAAUGAUGCAAUAGGAUUACAAACCAAAAAAAAAAAAAAAAAUUAGGGACCUGGAAGCCCACCAAGAAUGACACUCGAGCCAAGCGGAUUCCUGGGUUCGGCGCCACAAUGAACGUUCUCUAUGGCGAUUCUGUCUGCGGCCAGGGUGACGUCGAUUCCAUGAACAACAUCGUCUCCCGUUACCAGUACUACCUUGACCUGAUGGGUGUCGGCCGUGAGGAAGCAGGGCCUCAUGAGGUUCUUACCUGCGCCGAGCAGGAGGCUUUCAACCCGUCAUCUUCUUCAUCUUCUUGAGCUGUAAAAAUGCCCGUGUUCUUUGGUAUUCUAUUUUGUUUGUUAUGUACGUGAGAAAGCACAUAUUCGAGUCCAUAUGUAUGUAUAAUCUUCUUCUCUGAUUUCUCUGCAAUGAUCAGGAUUGCUUUUGAGGACUUCACAAUUCUAAUUCGUUAUUUCUUGAUGCCAUUUUCACGACCAGAAAUUUAUAUAAAUGUCUCUUAAUCCAAAAAUUUGCCUUGCACAUUGUUUAAUAUGAAAGCUUAGAUGGGCUUGAGCCCAUUUUGGGAGCCCAAUUAGUUGUCCAAUCUCAAAUCACAUGGGGGAAGCCCGUGAAGACCCCUUCCGCAGCCUCAACUUUCCGUAUGCUUUCUAAAAGUCAACAUUUGAUUCCUCAGCAUUGGGAUUUGGACUAAUCCUCUUGAUCUAACAGAUGAAGCCAAACCGUCCAUCUCUGAUUUACUUAAAAAAUAAAUUAAAAAUGUAACUUCAAUUUUGAUGACCUCCAUUCUUCCAUUUUUAAAUCAACUAGAAUCUUCUUCUCAAAAUGACCAUAACACCCUUUCAAUUUUUUGAUUGAGACUAACCUUAGGCGAAAGUUUUAAGGAAGGGAUUUUGUUUUUUUUCCCUUAGGAAAACUUUAUCAUUAAAUAUAAUACACAAAUAUUUUUUUUUUGUUUCAUUUUUUUAGAAAGGUUAUAUUAAAUUACAUGACAUUUAUUAUUAUAAAGUAAUGUGUAGGUUUGUCCUUUGCUUAAUUAGUUAGGCAUGUCCCGUAGGCAAAAAUUUUAAUUAUUUUUUUUCAUUUAUUUCUUCUAUUUUCCUUUUUUUUUUAAUGUCCCAUUUUCCCCAAAAUUUAAAGGAAUAUACCAUAAAGGAGUGCUAAUUUUUUUUAUAUAAAAAAAUAAAAAAAAUUUAUAUAAUAAAUACAUGGAUAAAUCAUACUCAUCCAAACAUAUAACAUAAAAUAUCAUAUAAAUGUAUAUGUGAUUGUCAUUUCCAAUGUAAAUUAGAGUAAUUUUUUAUAACUUAUUCUUAUUUAAUUAACCUUUUAAAAAAUUAAAUUAGAAAAAUUAUCCAAAACAUAUUUAAAAUUACUUUAGGCUACAUUUGGUCGGUUCUCUUUUUGUCCUAUAUCAUAUUAUAUCGAUCAUUUAAAUGUAAUAAUUUAGGCUAUAUUUGAUUGACAGAAUAAGAUAAAAUAGAAUAAGAUAUAUAUAUAUAUAUAUAUAUAUAUAUUUCAAGAUAUUAUAUUAAAUAUAUAUCUAAUAAUAUGAUUUUCAAUGAGAUAUGAUUUCAUUUGUAUGCAUAUUUUAUGGAUAUGAUAUUUUAAGGUAACAUAUCUAAUAAAAUAUGUUAUGUUAUGUUAUGUUAUGAUAGGUUGCUAACUUAGGAAGAAAUGUCAAUAUUGUUUUAGCAAUCCUAUCCAUAUUGAUGCUAUGUGCUUUAUUGGUUAUAAUUGCAUGCAUCAUGUUUAAUAAUAAUAUCUUGCCAAUUGCUAAAUUUCUCUUUAUGCUAUUUAUGUUUGAUUAUAUCAUUUUGAGCAUCCUUAAUAUACUCCUUGAAGUUUAUAAACUUGAAUAUUUUCUAAAUUUAAAGGAACAUAUAUUGAGAGGGAGCUUGUGAAACCAAAGUUUGGUUAAUCUCAGUUUUGAUGAUAACAAAACAAGGUUUGAAACUAAUAUUAUAUUUCAAGUGUGAUUAAGCAAGAAGAUUUUCAAAGUAGUAAUCACAAAGACAAAAUCAAGUCAAAGAGAAAUCAAUAAGAAAAAGAAGACCUCAAAGAGAACACCUGCAUUUAUUUGUCUACCCACUUGUUCUUGCCUUAAAAGCUUUAAUUCUUUUCUUGGUGCAUUAAAUCUCCAUUUGCAUAUCCUUUAGUGCACCUUUCUGAUUCAUCAUAGCCUUAAGUUGUAUUUGAGCUAUUGUUGAGCUAGGUUGAGAGAUUCAUUCUUGUUAAUCGAGUGUUAAAGCCUUCAAGUGAGUUGAAACUUGAAGAGAUUGUGUAAGAGCCCAUUGGAGCCGGAAUCCAAGUGUAAAGGUGAUUAGAAACUUGGUUGAAGCUUCAAGUUAGUCGAACCCUCACUUGGUUAGGAGCUUGAGGAGAGUGGACGUAGACAAAGAAGUGUCGAACCACUAUAAAAUCUGAGUUUGAUAUCUCUAAUUUUAUCUCUUUAUAUUUGCUUCUUUUGUGCUUAAAUUUGUUGUGUUUAAAAAGAAUUUUUAAAAAACCCAAUUCACCCCCCCUCUUGGGUGUUUUUCUUAUUUAAGAUUAGCCUUUAUUAUCUCAAAACCAUUUCUAAAUUAAAAAAUCUUACCAAUAACUGAGUAGUUGCUGUUGUACUAUGAUACCUCAUCCGAUCUAUAUGGAGAGGGGGUGUGAUUAAACGUCGUGUAAUAUGUCGGUACCACUCCGUAUAUGGAUCAUGAAACUGCAUAGCUCUCGUUAUAGGUGGUGUCAUUGCAAUACGCUCCGCAUGACUAGCCCAUAAGGUAAUAUACUGUGCAUGGAAUGCCCCCCAAUCAUACUUAUGUCGUCCUUGCCUAUCCACAGAAUGAAGGUCUUGCUCUAUGGAACAAGAUGGAGGUAUCCCUUGUUGGAGGCUAAACUAUCACAACACUCGCUCUAGUUGAUGCCACUCGACAAUGUCAAAAUAGAUAAGAGGUGACAUCAUCCCCCAAAUAUCCUGGUCUGUUAGAGAUAUCAUUGGAAGAUGGACAACUAAGUCUUCCAUGUAAGGCUCCCAUAAAACCUGUUAAAAUCAACAUUUGACAUUAAUAAUGUUAAUGUUUAUAUGCUUAACAAUAGCACAUUACAUCUUAUAUGUACUCGGUCAUGGGUUUGUGCAUCUAAUUGGUCUCGAUAAAAUGUCAAUACACGUGAUGGGUUUUGAGCCCAUGAUAAAAGUACUCUCCACCCAUAUCCUAACGGAUCAACUAGUAAACCCUCGUCUAACAAUGCCUCAUCUUGUAAUCCCUGGUCUUCAUCCAAUAAUCCAUGGUGUACUUCAAUAGGACCCUCAACUGGUAAAUCAUCGACUGCAUCAUGAUCUAAAUGUUGAGCUGCUGGAGGGGUUGGUGGUCAACCAAAAUUGGGUCGACCCACUUAGAGUAUCUCCCAAGACCACAACUAGAAAAAAUGUAACAUUAAAAUUUUACUUAAAUUAUAAACUUGAAGCAACUAGAAAUUUUAAUCUAAUGUGAAUAAUUAAUUAUACUUGUAAUAGUGUAACACAUCCAGCAAUAUCGGUGGCACCAUCCAAACUCAUUCGACACAACUCCGUAUAUAGGUGUGCUAAUACUACACUGCCCCAACUAUACAUAGAUGUUUGAGUCAAGUCUCUAAGUAGUGGGAGAUAACACAUAUGGAUGUGGGUACCCUUCUUAUUUGUAAAUAGAGCUGAACUUAUGAGUGCUAAUAUGAAAGCUCGUGCAUACUGCUCUAAUAUGGCCUCAUCUGAAUCAAUUGGUGGACGAGAGAACUAGUGACAUAGCCAUCGUGUCGAUAUCAUUGAUCCUUUAAUCUCAAAUGUAGGGGGAGUCAUACCUAAAAGUUCAUAACAUAGCAGUGACCAAUCUAUGUCACAUGUGCCAGUGAUGAGAAGCCCAUGAAUACGAAGUCCUAAUAUGAUAGCAACAUCCUAUAAAGUAACGGUCAUCUUCCCAACAGGAAGGUGAAAUGUAUGUGUCUUAGGAUGCCAUAUCUCAACUAGACUAUUGAUCAAUCCCCAAUCUAGUGUAAUGUGUCCAAUACGGUAUACACCAUAAAAUCCAGAUCGAAUAAUAUAAGAUCGAAGAUGAGGAUCCAUCUCCUAUUCCCAUAUAAACCUAGAUAUAUGUUGUCGACAAGUCAAGACCGAAGCAAACUGUAAAGAUACAAAUAAAUCAUUUAGAUAAUAAACUCCAUUUCUUUUCAUUCUUUAAAGAGAUAUUAUGUGCUUUCAUAUACAUACCUGACCAUAAUCAACUAAAUGAGACUUGUGCCUAUCCUGUAGAACCAAAACAGACUUAUCUAAUGGAUCUGAAUCAAAACUAUGUUUUUUAUACUCUAUAUCUGAAACAAAAUUGUAAAGAUAAAUAAACAAUACUUAUUGUUUUUAAAUAAAAAAUAUUUAUAAUGGAAAAAUUUUAAAAUUUUAUGGAGUUUUCCCUAUAUUAAGUAUAUAUCAAUUUGAUAAAUUUAAAUAGAUCAAUUCAUUUAUUACCAAUAAACAAGUCAUAUUAGUUUAAAUUAAAAUUAGAGAUGCAAAUACAAUGGAACAUUUUGUUAACAUCUUUAAUAGAAAAUUUCAAAAUUUUGACAGAGUUUCCCCUAUAGUAUGGACAUUAUUCCAAAUAUAAAUAACCUGAUUAUGAAAAUAACAUCAAUAUUUAUAAUCAAACCAAAGCCAAUAAUUGCAUAAAUGUAGUAUCAUAGUAGCUUACAUCACAAUAUCCAAGAAAAUUACAUGCAUACAUCACAUGGUCUAAUAAACUAUAUUACUAUUUUGACAAGAAUGACGAUUGUGGCCACUUUGUUUGCAUAACCCACAUGUAAUAGAAGUCUUGCCCUCUCUAACAUCCAUUUCAUUACGUAAAUGACUUGAUUUAGGUCGUCCACUUGAUGCACGUUUCAUCGACUCAGAAGGCACGAUAAUCAGACCAUCAUAAGGAGACCACUCAUACAUUGAAAAUGGGAUGGAACAAGGGUACCCAAGUAUUAUAGUAUGAUUGUGUACUGUAGUAGUAUUGAACAAGUGGUCUAAAAUCAACUGAACGAAAAUGACAUGCUGUUAGAAUAUGGCUACAUGGGAAUCCAUAUAUGAGUGUUUUAUCACACGUACAUGCAUGCUCAUGUAAGUUGACGCGAUAUGUUCGACCACCAGUUGAGCUACUCUUCGUAUCCCUACUAGUCUUCACGUGGAAUCAUCCUUGGAUGUGAUCAUAUAAAACAAUCUCAUGAGAUCCUGUCUUAACUACAUUUGCCUUAAUCUUAGCAUCGACAUAUGAAGUGUAUUUUUCAUUUGAAUCAAGUCGAUUAACACCUUGUUCCCUUCUCACAACAAAGUAACUAUUUAGCCAAAAAAAUGUCAAUUGAACCAAAGCAGUUACUGGUAAGCUACAAGCCCUUUUAAGCACACUAUUGAACACCUUCAACAUGUUUAUAGCCAUGAUGCCAUACUUUCGACCUUCGUCAUGAGAGAGCGCCCAUUUCUAAAAAGGGAUUGCUUCCAACCAUUAUUGUGCAGCUGCAUUAAUCCUCCCAAUUAUGUUCAUAUGUUUAUUGAAAUUUUCAAUCUUGGUUGCUAAGGCUGCUCUGCACAUUAGAUUUUUCAACAUUUUAUCCUUGAGUCGAGUCAUAAAAUUGCUGUCAAGAUGAUGUAUACAAACCCUAUGAUAUGCGUAUGGCUCAGACCAACCAAGAUGAACAUCACUCAUUGUAGUUAUAAUGCCUGGAUGUCGAUUUGAAAUAACACAAAGUCCCCUCCUAUGAGUUACUCUAGUUCUAAUACAUGCCAAAAACCAUCCCCAACUAUCAAUAUUCUCAUCCCCUAUUAGGGCAAAAGCUAAUGGGAAUAACUGAUUAUUUCCAUCAUAAUCCCGAGCAAUCAUUAAAGUGUCUUUAUACUUCCCAUACAAAUGUGUACCAUCAAUAUUGAGUACGAGCCAACAAUGCUUGAAUCCUUCAAUAGAUGGAUGAAAUGUCCAAAAAACUUGUUGAAAUAUCUUUGUAUUCUCCAUAAUACCGUGAAAUGUUUUUGAAAUUACAACACAUCCUGGAUUUGCCUACUCUAAGGCAAUGAAAAAAUGUGGUAGCUUUGCAUAUGACUUAUAAAAAUCACUAAAUAAGUUUGUAAGUGUUUUAAGCUUUUCUUUAGAUGUCUUCUUGUAUGAUAUUUGGUAUCCAAAUUUCUCCACAAUACUUGCUUAAAUAGUAGCUACUAACAAUGUGAAUUGUGCCUUAAUCAUUCAUUGGAUAUGAACAACAAUCAAGUUGGAAUCUAAUUGUUGAUGGUCCCGAUUCAAACAAGGAUUUACACAUUUGUGUGGACCAUUGUAUUUAUUGAUUGCAAAUAAAGUUGUACCUUGUACAACCAUAGCACAGAGUUUCCAUGGACAUUGAGAUUGCUCAACCUUCUUGCAUCUUAAGACUAACAACUUUUUAGUUGACAAAACAACAACAUACUCUUGUUGUGCACUAAUAGAGUACAACUUCACAGCAUGUUGUAAAUAUGCUUUUGAAUUAAAAAAUUGGCCAACCAUGAACUCUCCACCUGAGUUUCCAAUAUUAGUGUUCCCUCAUGGGGUCUAGUCACUUGAAACGACAUUACCAAUGUUUUCUACAUUUUCAAAAUGUAAUAAUGGUGCUGAGUGAUAUUGAACAGAGGAAAAAUCCAUUAAGUCCUUAAGAUCUAGGUUAUUUGACAUAUCACAACCUUCCCCAUCCACGGAGAUAUAUCUCCCUUGUUCACUUUCCAUUGCUUCGUGAAGAGUUAAGAAAAAUGAAACAACAUUAACACUAUUGUUUUCCUCAUUAAUAAAUUCGAAUACCCCAUGACCAUCAUGUUGAACAUCUUCUGCUUUCUCACUUUGAUCAUCACUUUCUUAGGAUUCAUAUUUUUCUUCAUCUUCAUCUGCUCUACACUCAUAAGUCAUUGCAAUUGGGGCACUACUAGGUCCACAACCAUACUCAAAUUCCUCAACAUUAUCAUUUUCUCAGAGUAAUAAAUGUGUAAAGUUACCUAAUAAUUGCCCUCUGACUUGUGGUUGUAUUGACACUUAUUCAAUAUACAAUUCAAUUUCGUUCAUUCCAAAUGAGUUAACCAAUUUUAGCAUUUGGGAUAAACUAUUAUCAUCCCAUAUUGGACAAAGUUGAAACCUGUUUUCCAUUUAAAGGAUACCUACAGUUGAAGACUAAUUGAAAUUGUUUUUUGUCAAUGCCAGUUCUCGAGUAUAUUAUAGAUAACAAGUGUUCAUAGGUUGAACUAACAGACACAUCCAAAGGCAUAAUUACAACUUGAUCCCCAAUAUACUUUACAUUUGUUUUUGUCAUCAACAUUUUUCCUUUACAAAAGCAAAUCACAGGAAUAAUAGAUUCAGACAUGAUUUACCUACAAAAAAUACAAUAUCAAAUGGUUUAAUAAUCAAUGAAAAUAAUAAGUCUUUGUGUUUUGAACUUAACAUACUUUUUAUUAAAAUAAUUACAAAAACACACAUACAAGAAUGUUCUAGAGAAAUUGCAUAUAAUUUUUUAACAUGUGAAUACACAAUUAUAUAAUGAAACAUCUUCUUACACAUUAGGGGGAAAAAUAUAAAUCACUUCAUAAUAAUAAUAUUUUUUAUUUAAAUAGUUAUCAAUGAUACAAAUAUAUUCAUAAAUAAAUGUUUGAUAAAAUUUUAAUUUAAAACUUAGAUAGUGGGUUUUAAAUCAAUAAAUGUUUAGUUAAAUCUAAAAGGCUAAACAAUUGCAAGAAUCUCAAAAUUAAAUAAAAAAUAAUCCACCAAUAAAUUUUUUUGAUAAAAUAUCAUAUAUUAAAAUAAAAUUAAAUGUUAUCAACCAUUAAAUAAUAUAUACUUUAAAUAAUUAUGUUGUUAUUCAUAAAUCAAUUGAUAUUUGAUUAAACCUAAAAGUCCAAAAAAAAUUUAAAUCUCAAAAUCAAAUAAAAGAUAACUCACCACAGAAAAAUAUAUUAAUAAAAUAUCAAAUACACAAUUAUAGAAAAAAAUUAUUUAUAUAUAUAAACAUUAUUUGAAUAUUAAAAGUGAAAACAUAUAAACAUUUUAUAAACCUAUUUAAUAUUAAUUUUAAUUAUAGAAAAAAAAUCAUUUAUAAAUUAAUUUUAAUUUAUAAAUCAAUUGAAUAUUAAUUUUAAUUUUAAUAAAAUUGAUGUCAAUAGGAUGACCCUUCUCAAAUAAUCCACCAAUAAUUUUUUUUUGGAUAAAAUAUCAUACAUUAAAAUAAAAUUAAAUAUUAUUAACCAUUAAAUAAUAUAUAAUUUAAAUAAUUAUGUUGUUAUUCAUAAAUCACUUGAUAUUUGAUUAUACCUAAAAGUCCAAAAAAAUUUUAAAUCUUGAAAUAAAAUAAAAGAUAACUCACCGUAGAAAAAUAUAUUAAUAAAAUAUCAAAUACGCAAUUAUAGAAAAAAAAUCAUUUAUAUAUAAAUAAACAUUAUUUGAAUAUUAAAAAUGAAAGCAAAUAAACAUUUUAUAAAUCUAUUUAAUAUUGGUUUUAAUUAUAGAAAAAAAAUCAUUUAUAAAUUAAUUUUAAUUUUAAUUUAUAAAUCUAUUGAAUUUUAAUUUUAGUCUUCAAUCUUCUCUUCUUGUUUAAUUUUGCUUUCUUGCAGGGAGCCAUUGUUGAUAGAAAGGUAUAGAAAGAGUGAUUGUUGUUAUGUAGAGAAGUAUGAGGAUAAUGGUGGGCUAAUUUGAGUAUUAUCUAGUUUUUAUUUUUAUUUUUAUUUUUGUGAUUUUUCCAGCAUUACAUUGUUUAUAUGGGAGAUCACUCGUACUAGGAUUCAGAAUAUAUGGUUGCAGCUAACCAUGAGAUGCUAGCUUCAGUUACUGGAAGGUAAGAGACUAUGGUCCCUAAAAAGAAUAGGCUACUAGUUUUCAGUGUCCUGACCUAAUUUUGACUGUGUGGAUUGUAACAGUUGAUUUGUUUUUCUAUGAUUCUAAAUGUUGUGGUGGAUUGUUUUCAGUGUUGAUAAGGCACAGACAGUAACACUUCACCAUUACAGUAAAAGCUUUAGAGGGUUUUCAACCAUGCUUACACCCGAGCACACUUAAAAACUUGCAGGUGUGCCUUUUUUCAUAUUAUAAAACAUUGUACAUCAUUCAAAACAUUCUGGCUUACUAAAUUCCUUUUGAUUUUCUUGUGUUGCAGAGAGCGAUUAAGUUAUUUUAGUGUUCAGGAGCAGGAUGAACUGAGUCCAUAUAACUCAUUCUUGGGAUUUUUUGGGAAUAGACUCUAUUGUCCAGUAUAACCAACUGCCAAUGACCUUGUCUUCUCAUAGUUUUGCUCAAUAUUUUAUUUUAACUUCAAUUUUUUUGUUUAUUUGUCCAUGCAUCCGUGAUUUUUUUUUUUUUGUGGAAUUUAUAGGACAUCAAAGGCGAAGUUAACUUGGGUGCUACUAAAAAAUCUUUGCCUAUGGAUCCAUCAAUUUAUGGGCUAACAAUUUUGGAAUCAAAAUUAGGACUAGGUGGUGCAGGUAACAUUGCCUCACCCUGCAUAAAAACUAGGAGAUAUUUUUAUAUGGACAUAUUUUUUGUGGUACUAUGAGAAAAAUAAUGUUUGAUGUUAUUUCCUCUUUUGUAAAGACCAUAUUGGUCAACAGUGGUGUUAGUGGAAUAACAUAGAAUAAAUUGGGCACCUUCUAUUUUUGGUUGAGACAAAUGGCAACAACUAAAAGUUAAUAUAAGAGACGAGCUAAUGGCCUUGAUCUAAGGCUUGAAAAUCUCGUAUGACAGUUUCAAGAUUGUUUAUGGCUUUUUAUUAGGAAGUUUUCUAGUCACUUAGAUGUGUUUAAUGGCCUUAAUACAGUCUCAUAGUUGCUUUUAUCUUCUAAAUCUUGUCAGUACUAGGUUUUAUGUAUUUAAUACAAUAUCAUAGUUGCUUUUAUCUUCUAAAUCUUGCCAAUUUUCAUAUGUUCCACUCAUGAACAUCGCUAGCUUAUUAUGAGCCUAACAAAGAAUUAAAGAUAAAGUCUCCAACUUAUGGUUACAGCAAAUCAAAUCCCAAGAAUAGCCAAGCAGAGUCUAAAUCAAGUAGAGUUGAAGUAUUGAAAAUUUUAAAACUAUUUAGUUUGAGAUUCCUUAAAGGAUGCAAAUAAUGUCUUAAAUCUUUGGACCAGAACUAGCCCAUGAUGACUCUGUUUUAACCAUAUCUCCUACCACUGGAUCAUAUUCCUGAAUUUUAAGGUCAACCAAACAACAAGGAAUUUGAAACCCACCAAGUAAGAAAAAGAUCAGAAUACUCAGGACCACUAAUGAAACCCACCAGCUUUAUUUUAUUACAGAGGAAUGGGUCCAUGGAGUGACUCACAUUGUAGAGGAAAUUCUGAUAUCAUUUUCUAGAGUUCUACCCCACCCAAAUGAUAGGUCAAACAUGCACAUUUUAGCAUUACUUUCCUCUAUUUUCUGGGCAACCAAACAUUCCUAGAAUUUGGAGAAUAAUGUAGAAACUGAAAACAACCCCACACCUCAAUCUCCUAACUUAAGAUAAAACCUUAUUCAUUGGCCCUUGAAAAGUGGAGUACUCCGAUUUUUUCUGUUCCUAUAACAAAAAUCAAAGCUCAUCCCCUUCAUUUUUGGGGUUUUUAACAGUGGUCCCCUCCAUUUUUGGAGUUCUUAACAAUGGUCCCCUCCAUUUUUGGUAUCUUUAACAAAAAAAAUUCACGGUGGCUCUCCAUUCCAUAUUCGUUUUCUUCACUAAAACAAAACCUUUUUCUUUUUGUCAAGCUAGCUCACAAUGAAAAUAAAAUUAAAAAAAACCGAACACAUCUUUACCAAGCACAAGAUGAAAAUAAAAUCAGAAACCAAACACAUCUACAACAAUAAACUAAAAUACGUGAAAACUAAACAGAUUUACAAAAAAAUAUUUAAAUUUACGUAAACUGAAAAACUCAUAAAUCUUACCUGAUCAAUGAUGGAACAAGAUGAAAAUUUGGAAAAUAUUGAAUUUGAGCCAAGGAUGAACCAAAGACAACCAGAUGCAACGGGAGACAACGGAAAUGACGAAUAAAAAGACAAAACCCUAAAGGUAAGAAACCUAACCGAAAAGUGAAAGGAACUCAAAACUGUAAUUGGUGACUACGGUUUCUUGACCUGGACUCCUACGUGAUAAAGAUGCACUAAAUUGGGCAUUAUUUUGGAAAUCAGUUUACUUUUUGGUUUUUUUUCUAAAUAUCUUUUUUUGGGUCAAAACUCAAUAAUCCAAGCGUCCAAAUAGUUGAAAUGCACCGUAAAAGCUAUAACUAGAGCUCGUGUGGUUACAGUUAAUCCCCACCGUCGAUUCUCACGGCGGUGGGUCCCAUGUGAUGUAAAAAUUAAUCGUGGUUUGUCUUUUGGACCUAGUUGGGCCCAAAAAUUAAGUUUUGGUCCAUGUAAGUUGCAUAAUUGAUGAUGAGGAUAUUAAAUAUGAAAAUACCAAUAUACCCUUUAAAACUAUUUUCUACCAUAAUGUUUGACAAACUUUUUUUUUAUCUUAAAUUUUUUUUAAUCAUUAUUCUGAAAAUUUAUUAUUUUUAGAAAAAUAUUUUUUUUAAAAAAAUAUAUCAUUUUUAAAAAUAAAUUUGACAUAUUUUUAGUUAUUUUUAUAUACACAAUUUUAAAAAUAUAUAUUUUUCAAGAUUUUUUAUUUUUAAAUAAUAAUAAUAAUAAUAAUUUUAUUUUAUUUUUUUUAGAAAGGGUGUAUUUUUUUUCCAAAUCACUAAAUUAUAUUAAAUUUUAUUGAGGUUUAAAAAAGGAAUAAAAUUUAAAUUAAUAUUUUUCUACCUUUUUUUUUUUUUCAUAAUGAGCAAAAGUCAUUUUUGGAAUGAUAAAAAAAUUCAUAUCUUUCUUCUCAAUUUUCACAUUUUCUCUGGGUUUUAAGCUUAAAUAAUGAAUUUAUAUGGACAAAAACUUAAUUUUUGGACCCAACUGGUCCAAAACACUAUUGUCCCUUUAUUUUAUCACAAAUGGAGGACAAUUUGGUCAUUUCCAUAUUCAACAUGCUCAACAUAUAUAUAAAACUAUGGCAACUCUCUCCACGUUGAUUAUACACUACUCGCAUCGUCACGAGAGUUGCCAUAAUCACAACUGAGGAGGUAGAUAGUGAGGGUACAGAGGAGAUGGUGGUGGAGCGCGACAUAGAUGAUCUACCGAAGAACGCAGCGAACUACACGGCCUUGACUCCGCUGUGGUUGCUGGAGAGAGCGGCUGUGGUACAUCCCAACAGGAAAUCAGUGAUCCAUGGAUCUUUGCAGUACACGUGGCUCCAGACUUAUCAGCGGUGCCGCCGAUUGGCUUCCGCUCUUUCUAAGUAUUCCAUCGGCGCCGGCAGUACGGUACUUCGGUUUCUCACAUCUUUAACAUUUUCAUUCUUCUGCUUGGUAGAUGAGAAAAUGAAAGAAAAGAUAAGAAAAUUUGAAAAUCUUUUGUUGGUUGCAGUCUUGAAAGCGGCGUGUUUUUGUCCCUUUCUUAAGUGAAUCUAACCCUUCCUUUUUUUCUUUCCCUCUGAAAAUAGGCGGUGAGUUUAAUUUGAUUCGUUUAUUUAAUUACCACGUUAAUUAAAUCUUGUGCUGAUUGAAUAUAAAUCAAGUUCGUUGGCAUGAAUUUAGUCUUUUUUUUAUUUUUUAUUUUUGGUUGUAGAUCUGAUUUUUUAUUCUGUUUUUUGAAAUAUAGAAGUAAAAGUAAUUUUUAAUCACUUGUGUAGUAUUCGUCGAAAAUCAACAUGAUUGUUGUGGUUUUGAAUCAUUUAGUCUCAGGUGUUAUUUAUUCAAAAGUUGUGGAAAGUCUUAAAAAAGUUUAUUGAUAUUUUGGUUUUGAAUUUUCAUUAUUACUUUUUCCUUUUAAGAGUUGUUUAUUCUAGUUUCAGACAAGAGGUUAUGUUAUCAUGCUCAAUAUCAUUAUUCCUACUAUUGUGGCUCUAUUUUGGGUUAGUUGAUUAAAAAAUUCGAAAUUUGACCUGGGUUAGUUGAUGUUGUCUGCUAGGUUUUCCUUUUAGAUUGAAAAACCAUAAAUUGAGUAUGUUGGAGUAUAAAAAAGAUUACCGAAUCUCGUCCAAAUAUUGGGGUUGAGUUGUUCACACUAACCUACCUAAGUUGUAAGGUUAGGUGUUGUUGUUGUUGCUUUUUUUUUUAUAAUUUUUUAUUAAAAGUAAUUUGGUUUUAUUGAACUACUAAUUUUCCUAAAAAGCUGAAGGACUUAGAUCUAAUAUGCAUAUUAUACUCGUUAACACCUUUUCUCGUGUGUGCAGCCCAUACCCACAUGUGGAGAGGCAUAGACAGAAAAAGGGAGAGAGACCAACAAUUGCAAAUAACCCUUUUUGGGUUUUCGAACAUGUAAAUGGGGAAACAAACAUACAAAUUGUAAAGAGACAACUUGAAUGCAUGACUUCUGGCAAAAUAUCAUGUUGAACAAUUAAUUUUUCUAAAAGGCUAAAAUACUUUGUUUUUUUUACUUAUUUCUUAAAUUUUAGAUCGAAUAGAAAAAACCAAAAUAUUUAAUUUUCUUUUUAAUGCAAAAACUAACCUAUUAGUUUUUCUCUACUUGUUAAUACUUAAUAGAAAUUAAAUAUCGAAAAAACUAAUAACUUAAUAUUUAAUACUAUUAAACACUAUUUUAUCUUAAGUUCGAUUUAGAAUUAAAUAAGAAAACAAGUACCACCUUAAUUUAAUCCACUUAUCAUACAGUUAUUCUGAAAUAUUUAAUACUUUAUCUACUUAUUUUUAUUUUUUCAAUGGAAAAACCAAUAAAAAUAUUAAUUAUAAAUACACAAAAUAAAUAAUACAUAUGUUUAUUUUUUUUAAUGAAAGGGAAAACUAAUAAAUUAGUAAAUCCAAAAGACGGUGAUGGAGAUAAUAUUUAUAUAUGAAUAAUAACUGUUUUAUACAAAUAAUAGUUAUUAAUAAGCUUUGUGUUAUGGUUAUAAUAAUUUUGUUAUUCUUGACAAAUUAUAUUACAAAAAAAUAGUUAUAAUCGUAGUAUAAUAUAUUAUUUUGUUAUUCCCAUUAUAAGAAGUUGGAUUAUUCUUUAAUAAGUUUUUCCUCAACUAUGAAAAGAUUAUAAUCAUUUUUGCUCUCUGCCUGAAAUUUUUUUAGUACUUUUACUAUUUGCUUAUUAAAAUAGCUAAAGGGCAAUAAGUUGUCUUCAUCUCCCUCUAUGUCCAAAUUCACUGGCAAUAUUAUUACAAGUAUAAGAGCAGGAGUAAUAUGGCUGCAUUUUAGAAAAAAACUGCUGAAGAUUUUUACCUGGCUUGUUUGGAUAAUUUAGCGGACAGGUGGUUCUGCUUGUUUCCCUCCCAAAUACCAUAUUCUUUUCGGAUUUGGCAUCAUUUAGGGCUUAUAAUCCAGUUCAGUUUCUUGAGUUACUUCCUGAAUUAGUUUCCUUUUGGGAAAUUAUUCUCAUUGCUUGGUUGUCUGGACUGCUUGAAACUUCUUGUUCACCUGACUCGUGAAAUCAAAGAGUAAUGCAAUUGCCUUUGUCAUUGUGUGUGUACUUUGAUUUUGGGAUUCUCAUCCCUGCUCCUUUCAUCGUAUUCAUCAUUGUAAAAAGCAUGGAAUUUUCUAACAGUGUUCCACUGGACCUCAUGAGGUUUUAUAAUGAUGGCCAGAAUUAUGAAUCGUUGAUCAUUCUGGUUUCCUUCCAUCCUAACUUUGUAUCUGAUAAAUUGCCUCUAUGUUGGAUUGGAGCUAGUUGGUGGCUGAAUCUUAGUGUUCUGAUUAUACUGCCAGGUAGCAAUAAUUGCACCAAACAUCCCUGCCAAGUAUGAAGCUCAUUUCGGGGUUCCCAUGUCUGGAGCGGUGGUGAACUGUGUUAACAUUCGUCUAAAUGCACCGACAAUUGCUUUCCUUCUUGAGCAUUCAUCGGCAGCAGUUGUAAUGGUGGAUCAAGAGUUUUUCCCAUUGGCAGAGGAAGCUUUGAAAAUCUGGUCAGACAAAAGCAAAAAUGAUUUUAAGCCUCCACUUCUAAUCGUCAUAGCUGAUGAAAGCUGCGAUCCUAAAGCACUAGAAUAUGCUUUGAGGAAAGGGGUCAUUGAAUAUGAGCAGUUCCUGGAAACAGGAGACCCUGAAUUUGCAUGGAAACCACCACAGGAUGAGUGGCAGAGUAUUGCUUUGGGGUAUACUUCUGGAACAACAGCCAGCCCUAAGGGGGUAGUGUUGCACCAUAGGGGAGCAUAUAUCAUGGCCCUCACUGGUGCUCUUGUAUGGGGGAUGAAUGAAGGAGCUGUGUACCUAUGGACACUUCCAAUGUUUCAUUGUAAUGGCUGGUGUUUCACUUGGACACUUGCUGCUCUUUGUGGGACCAACAUAUGCCUUCGGCAGGUACUUCUGAGUCAUUUGUUUUUACCUCAAUAUGUUGGAGAAUUCAUGCUUAUCUUAAAAAUGUCUUCAAUAUGUUGAAAUGCUUUGCCAAACACUACAAGGCAGUUUGAAAACAGUUGCAGGCCGCCAAAAGGAGUUUGCUAAUGUGUUCAUGCUCCUCUGCUUUGUACAUUUUUGUAGGUUGAAACCAAGGCAAUUUAUCAAGCCAUAGCCAACGAUGGUGUAACCCACCUCUGUGCUGCACCAGUGGUCCUCAACAGCAUAGUCAAUGCCCCCAAAAGUGAAACCAUCCUUCCCCUUCCACGCGUGGUCCAUGUAAUGACAGCUGGGGCUGCUCCGCCCCCUUCUGUUCUCUUUGCCAUGUCCCAACAAGGCUUUCGAGUCACCCAUACCUACGGACUCUCAGAAACCUACGGCCCCUCCACAGUAUGUGCAUGGAAACCUGAAUGGGAUGAACUACCACCUGAAACUCAAGCCCGUCUCAAUGCACGCCAAGGCGUCCAAUACAUCGGCUUGGAGGGCCUAGAUGUGGUCAGCACCACAGACAUGAAGCCUGUCCCUGCCGAUGGAACCACCAUUGGUGAGAUUGUGAUGCGGGGUAAUACUGUGAUGAAGGGCUACUUAAAGAACCCGAAAGCCAACGAGGAAACUUUUGCAAAUGGAUGGUUUCAUUCAGGUGAUCUUGGGGUGAAGCAUCCAGAUGGGUACAUACAACUUAAGGACCGAUCAAAAGACAUCAUCAUCUCUGGAGGCGAAAACAUAAGCAGUGUGGAGGUUGAAAAUGCUGUAUACUUGCACCCUGCAGUGCUAGAGGCAUCAGUGGUGGCAAGGCCAGAUGACCGCUGGGGGGAAUCACCUUGUGCUUUCGUGACGUUGAAGCCAGGGGUUGAUAGAUCCGAUGAAAGACGCCUGGCAGAAGAUAUUAUGAAGUUCUGCCGAUCCAAGUUGCCGGCUUACUGGAUUCCAAAAUCUGUGGUGUUUGGACCAUUGCCCAAGACGGCCACUGGGAAGAUACAGAAGCAUCUGCUGAGGGCCAGGACGAAGGAGAUGGGACCUCUUAAGAAGAGCAAGCUGUAGUAAUCUCUCAGGGUAGUCCAUGAAUGAAAAAAAAGAGGGAUCUUCUUGUUGCCGGUUAGUCACCCUCGCACUCUGUUAAUUCAUUCAGUUCGGGCUAUAGGAUUUGUGGUUGGGCUACUAAUACGGUUAAACAUUUGAAGAAAAAUGCUUCUCUCAUAUUCACCUUCCCCAAUUGGGACUAUCAUGUACUGUUACUUAUUUAGGAACUCGUUGGACGACUGAGUCAAAGACCGGGUCAAAAAGCCCACCAUAAAUGAUCGACAUUUGAAUAUUCUAUUUAUAAAGUCAAUUUCAAAAUACAUAUCGAUGUGAUAUUUACAUGUGAAUAUUCAAUUAACGGAAAAUUCUGAUGAAUGUUAUCCCUAUCACAUACAGAUCAUGUUGGUCUGGAAUCUUGGACCAAUUUGAUGUGUUGAUGGUAUGGGCCAUGUUGUAGCCCAUUGACAUCUCUGUCCAAGCCCAGUAACCAGGCCUUGAGAUUUCAAAGGUCAGGAUAGAAAUGGGCCUUGUGGUGGACCCAUCUAUGGUAGUUCCUAAUGUUUUGCUAACCAAAAUUUGGUGGGGUGGGAUAAGAGCAAUGGAGCUCCUUCAAUCCAUGUCUUUUAGAUUCUCUGUUUCAUUUGUUCUUCCUUUAAGGCCUGUUUGGUAUACAAGAAAUAAGAAUAAAAAUGGGAUGAAAACAAGGAUGAAUCAUAAUCUAAUGUAUAAUAAUCAAAAUCUUAGUACGAGUGUAUUUGGUUUUCAUGACAAUGAUUUUUUUUUAAUUCUUAAUUUUUUUAUUUCCAUUUUCAUUCCAAAAAAGAAAAAGAAUACGACAAUGAAUGAGAAAUGAAAUUAAGAGUUUGUUUGAGCAUUGUUUUUAAAAAACAAUUUUUUUUUUGAGUUUCUAUAAAUAAAAUAUUGUUUUUCAAAUUCAAAAACAUAUUUGAUAUUUUUUGAUAAAAAAUAGUUUUUUGAGAAGAUAUUUUAAUUAUUUUCAUUUGUUUUCUAAGGUUGUUUUAAAAAAUAAUUCUAUAAAUAUAGAAAAUGAUUUAAAAUAAAGUAUUACAAGUAAAAACCACUUUUAAAAAACAUUUACAAACAUGAAAUAUAGGUUUAAAACAUUUCAAGUUCUCAAACAGACUUUUAUACUAAUAAACAUUCAAAAACUUUUGAAAACGUUUCCAACAAGUGAAAGAUUUUCAUUUUCAUUCUUCAUCACAUGAUUUCAAACAUCAUUUUUAUAGCAAUAGAGGACUCCAUUUGAAGAACUUUCAAAUGAUGCAAUAGGAUUACAAACCCAAAACAAAAAAAACAAAAAAAAAAAGGUCAAGCAAACGUUGAUGCUAUCAUUAUUGGCCAGGCUUUACAGAGAAAGUGGUAUUCCAAAUGAGGAGGAAAGCUCUAAGGAUAAGGAGAAAGCUGAAUUCAGAAUGGUUUGUUGGCAGAUAUAUCUUCAGUUGCGUCACUGAGAUGGUAUUUUAAAGGAUAAGAAUCUUAUAUAUUAUAUUAUGCAUGCAUCCAUCCAUCCAUCCAUCCAUAAUCUUGGGCAUGCUACAAUGCUCCUUCAAUCCACCCUCCAUAAAGUUAGGUCCCAAUCCAUGCAAGGUGGGAUGGUUCAUAUUUCUUCAUGCUCAUCCAAAAACAUUUGUCAAAGUUCACAACUUGUAGCAUCAAUGGACCCAUCCCCUUUAUCAUCCAGUUAGGCCUCUUUCUUCUCCAACUCGUCUACCUGCCAAUCAUCACUUCAAUUUCACGUUAAUGCUGAAUAAGAAGACAUCCUAUAUUUAUUUUUCAACUAACCCAACUAUGUGGGUUGUUUGAAACUUCUAAGAAAUAAGUUGGACAAUUUUUUAAUACAAAUUUUCUUUCCAAGAAGCAAGAGAAAAUAUUGAUAUUUCAAUUUUACAAAUAUAUAUAUAUCAUUCAAAUGGAUUGAGUUGCAAAGUAGUUGUUCAAUGGGGGUCAAUAAUGAAAAUAUCACUAGUUUGAUUUUACAAAAAUAUGGAUAUGGAUAUUGAUAUUGAUAAUAAUUUUCUUAAAUUAAAUAUAUCAUAAAAUCAUAAAAAUAACUAAAAAUAUGAAUAUUUUUAGAUACAAAAAUAUCAAUAUUGAUAGAAAUUUUCUUAAAAUUGAAAAUAUCAUAAAAAUGACUAAAAAAUGUGAAAAAUUUUAGAUAAAACUUUGAUAAAUAAGAAAAUAAUUAAUAGUACGAAUAUUAAAUUGGGUUUUUAAGAGAAUAAUGUACAAUAGUAUCAAAUAAUAAAAAAAAUAUGUAUUGAUAUUGAUUUGUAUUACCAAACAAUUAGUGUUUAUCAUGAAUAAAAAAAUGAUUUGAAUCUGUCUUUAUAUUACAUCUAAAAUUUUAUAUGACCUUAGUAGACUAUGUUUUGAAAUUUUAUUGAAAAUUUGAAAACAUAGAUGACUUGGGUUAGGUAUACCAAGAUAUUUUCAUCAUUUUUUUAUGGAUAAAGAUAAUUAAAUAUUUAACUUUUCAAAAUUUAUGAAAAUAUGAGAAAUAUCAUAAAUACUGUCAUCCUCAUAUUGUUGACCAUAACAAUGACACUUAAUGAAGAAAAACUUGGGACAUUAAAGGUUUUUAGUUGGGAAGCAAAACUGGGGACAUUAAAGGUUUUAGUUGGGAAGCGUUUUUGAAAUAUUUUUUUUAAAUUAUUUUAUAAUGUUUUGUACAACAAAAAUAUGUUUCUAAUUUGGUUUUUAUAAUUUUUAAAAACAAAUUUUAUAAGUAGUGUUGUAUUUUUAAUCAUUUUUUAUAAUGAUUUUUAAAAAACCCUGUGUAUAUUUUUUUUAUUUUCGAAAAUAGCUACCAAAAAGCUUAAAUCUAAUCUCAACCCUAAAUUAAGGUGGUGUUUGUUUUUUUGGCUUUUUACUGAAAAUAAUUUGUUUUCAGAAUUUAUAUUGUUUAUUUUUCUACUUUUUCAUCACUUAUUAUAAAUUUUUUAUUAAAUAAAAAAAAUCAAAAUAUCUAACUUUUUCUAAAUAGAAAAAAUAUUUUUUUUACUUUUUAAUAUUAUAAAAACAAAUAACCUAAUAUUUAAUACUACUAAUAUUAAGGUUCUAUUUAGAAUUAAGUAAAAAAAUAAACAUCGACAAUGUUCUAAAUAAGUCGAUGGGUAUAAAGUUUAUCAAUAAGAGGAGAAAGCAAGCCUUAUCACCGUUUAAAACCCUAAAUCAACACUCAACUUUUUGUCUUGAUCAACAAAUGAAAAAUACUUUUAGGGUUCAUCAACAAAUGAAACAGGGACUUAGAUUCUAUCAGUGGGUCGAGGUAAAAUUCAAAUUGGGAUGUGGAGACGAGGAGACAGAAGAGGAUGGGAGGAGAGGCGAUUGGGCAGCAUGGUGACAUCAAUCCAGAAGAGUGUGCUCCGACAAAACAACCCCACAAAAGCUCUCAUGGUCAUGGGAACAUCAGCCUCAGACACAUAUAACGGAAAUAAUGAUGGUGGGUUGGCCAAACACUCCCUUAAGACUUGAGAUGUUUGGUAUUCAAAGGUCCUUGUCUCAACCUGCAGAUGUGAAGGUUGUUUAAUAAAUAAAACCGAUUUUCUUUUUCUUUUUCCCCUUGCCUUUGUAAAACGAAGCGUUCCAGCUUUUUUGUCAUCCAAGGAAUGAUGCAACAUUCAAGUUGUCUCGAACCUUCUUAACCAAUUUUCAGCUAGUUGAACUGCCUUUUCUUUUUCUUAAAAAAAAAAAAAAAACCCUUAUAUGUAUAUAUAUAAAUUAUGACAUAUUUUGCCAUGAGUUAAUGAAGAAAAAAAAAAUUCUUUCUCAUGACAAUGAUUUUUUUUUUUUUAAUUCUUAAUUUUUAUAUUUCUAUUUUCAUUCUAAAAAAGAAAAAGAAUGAAUGAGAAAUGAAAUUAAGAGUUUGUUUGAGCAUUGUUUUUAAAAAACAUUUUUUUUAUUUGUAUAAAUAAAAAAUUGUUUUUCAAAUUCAAAAACAUAUUUGAUAUUUUUUGAUAAAAAAUAGUUUUUUGAGAAGAUAUUUUAAUUAUUUUCAUUUGUUUUCUAAGGCUGUUUUAAAAAAUAAUUCUAUAAAUAUAGAAAAUGAUUUAAAAUAAAGUAUUACAAGUAAAAACCAUUUUUAAAAACAUUUACAAACACAAAAUAUAAGUUUAGAACAUUUCAAGUUCUCAAACAGACUUUUAUAAAACUAUUUUUUAAAAAUUAUUAAUGUGUUUGUUAAGUUGUUAAUUAAUGAUACUAUUUAAGUUUCAUGUGAAUCCAAAUGAAAAAAGUAGUUGUCAUAGCAUUAUUAACACUUAGCUGAAAAUGGACUACAAAUUUACAAGUACCCAAAAUUUGAUUAGAUUUCUUUAAGGUGGUAUGAAGUGGACAUAUAGAAAUUGAGAAAAUGUAAUACCUUGGAAGUAACAAAGAACUCUUUUUCCUUUCUUGUGAAAGAAUACAAGGUGUACUUCAUACGCAUCACAAU